GUGGGGAAUCUUCCGCAAUGGACGAAAGUCUGACGGAGCAACGCCGCGUGAGUGAUGACGGUCUUCGGAUUGUAAAGCUCUGUUAAUCGGGACGAAAGAGCUCUGUGUGAAUAAUGCAGAGAAGUGACGGUACCGGAAUAGAAAGCCACGGCUAACUACGUGCCAGCAGCCGCGGUAAUACGUAGGUGGCAAGCGUUGUCCGGAAUUAUUGGGCGUAAAGCGCGCGCAGGCGGGUUUUUAAGUCUGUCUUAAAAGUUCGGGGCUUAACCCCGUGAGGGGAUGGAAACUGGAAACCUAGAGUAUCGGAGAGGAAAGCGGAAUUCCUAGUGUAGCGGUGAAAUGCGUAGAUAUUAGGAAGAACACCAGUGGCGAGGGCGGCUUUCUGGACGAAAACUGACGCUGAGGCGCGAAAGCCAGGGGAGCAAACGGGAUUAGAUACCCGAGUAGUCC
rnacentral:rRNA from 1 species